UCUGGAGAAUGAGAAUUAUAUUAUAAUUCUACGCGUUUAAACGUGCUGAAAGACAUAAAUCCCAUAAAUAAGGAACUUGAUUUGUUUUCACUAGUCAUUAGACCAUGACAUUGAUGCGCGCAAACCGAAGUACAAAUCACUGUCGGAUGAAGUCACGCAUACAGAACACCUCUCAGAAUGCGUCAAAGGCACCGUCGGUACAGUUGUCAACAGCUUGAGCUUUAUUUGACGGAUAUUAUCAACCAAAACUUAUCAGUAGUGAAAUCGUCUAGGUAUUUGAAUACUUGGAAAUAACAAGGCCUUACACUAUUACUCAAGUUGUUUGUAAGGACCAGCAAGCAGUUUGAUCUUCACGUCGUAAAAUCAGCGAGUGCAUAGAGGAUUAUUUUGUGAACAAUCGGACAGAAAAGGUGAAUAUUCUAUCACCAAGGAAUUCACUGUUACCAAAGGCACGCAGGGUGGAAGCUACGACACGCAAUUACCAAUAUUCACUUAGCGCAGUGAGCGCAGUGGUAACGAGCGAGUUUUAUGUGCGUGGUUGAAAUCGUUUAAAUUUCAAUAUCAAGUGGCGAGUGAAUGAAUUGAAUUUUAAUAUCUUGUGGAAACGACAGUCGUGGUUGUCUUACAAGCAAGCAAACUGCUAAAUAGAACAAGAUAAAUUGGUGACAAACAAUGCAGAAUUCGCGUGAUAUGAAAGUGUUUACGCGAGAUAACAGUACUACAAGAAGGUGAUAUCAAUUGCAUAUGAACAGAGUUCAUAUGAAUAUCGUAUUAACUUUUACUGACAAGACUACCAAGAAAACUAUGUCACAGAAGCAUAAAAGCUUGCUACACAGAAGAAACAAGCAGAAAUCUGAAGAAGAGGUCAAAUGGUUAUUGAUAAAUACUGACUCGGGAAACGUCGACCAGAAUUCGGAAAACUGUACGCAUGCUCGGACGAGCUCCGUGAAGCCCUCGUAUCUGCGUCGAACUCGCUCUAGUGACCACGAAAAAAAUUGCCACAAUACGCCAUACAAAGUGCUAUCGCCUGAGGAAAGCAAUGAAAUUGUUCGGUUAGAGCAAAGUCGGGAUUAUGAGGGCUUUGUAAAAGAAAGGGAUGAAAUUGAUAAAAGGUCUGCUUUAAGUGCAAAACGAAGAAAUGCAAUUUGUGAUGUGAUUGAAAGCAGGACGUAUACGACUCCUGGCCAAAGUCUUAGACAGGAUAGAAUAGAUAUGCUUAGAUGUAUCGCGUUAGCCAAUUACUGUCUACUUUGAUUUGGUCACUCGAUCUUUCGGUUUCAAUUUAACUAUGGGUUAUAAGCCUUUGCUGCAGCUGCCUCGGAUGCGUUCUCAAAUAUGCGGCUAAUACAAGAGAAAAAAGGUCGCCUAGAUUGCCGAUUGGAAGGCCCGCGAAUGAAACGUUCAAAUGUAAAAAAGGUUCCGUAAAUUUAUUGGAAUUCAUAUGCGUUUUUCUGUUGCUCUGGAAGCUUCCAGGUGCUUCCCUAAAGCCUUUUUGUUUGCUCAGUAAAAGAAUCAUUGUACAAAUUGUGCCAUGAACAAUUUUAUUCAAAUGUUGUAUUCGUGAGUCCAUAUUUUUUCGUGUAAAAUUUGAAUCCUUUAUUGAUAGUAAUACGGGACCGUUAUGGACAAGUUUUGCUUUGUGUGUGAGCAGUUGUGGCAAUUGCUCAUUAAAUUAUUACUCUUAAGAGUACUCUUUCAGGCUUAUUGGUACUUCCCAUAAUAGGAUUGAAACAUUCUAAAUGCUAUUCUGCUUCCGUAAAGCAAAUUCGAAUUUGACGUCAUUAACAUACGUCAUAAUCUUGUGACUAGAUUUGUUUAAGUAAGUAUUUAAUAUUAUAACAAAUUCAAAUCUUAAAACAGUACAAGCCAUUUCUUAAAAUCGCAUAGUGCGCAUACUUUCGUACAUUUAGUAAUAAAUCAGUGAAUAUUUAUUACGAUUAACAUA